UCUCAGAGAGUUUGAUUAUGGCUCAGAACGAACGCUGGCGGCAGGCUUAACACAUGCAAGUUGAACGGGAUUCAUUAGUAGCUUGCUAUUGAUGAUGAGAGUGGCGCACGGGUGAGUAAUACGUGGGAACGUACCUAUCAGUUUGGAACAACUGUUGGAAACGACAGCUAAUACCGGAUACGCCCUGAGGGGGAAAGAUUUAUCGCUGAUAGAGCGGCCCGCGGCAGAUUAGGCAGUUGGUGGGGUAAAGGCCUACCAAACCUACGAUCUGUAGCUGGUCUGAGAGGACGAUCAGCCACAUUGGAACUGAGACACGGUCCAGACUCCUACGGGAGGCAGCAGUGAGGGAUAUUGGGCAAUGGGGGAAACCCUGAACCCCCAGCCAUGCCGCGUGAGUGAAGAAGGUUUUCGGAUUGUAAAGCUCUUUCGGGAGAGAAGAUGAUGACGGUAUCUCCAGAAGAAGCCCCGGCAAACUUCGUGCCAGCCGCCGC
rnacentral:rRNA from 1 species